AUUUAGAGGAAGGAGAAGUCGUAACAAGGUUUCCGUAGGUGAACCUGCGGAAGGAUCAUUGACGUAACCUGCCAAGCAGAUCGACCAGCGAACUAGUAUGUUAGCAGUCACUGGGGGCACUUUGUGGUGGGCUUGACUGCCCCCACCCUCUGCCCCCUCGCCGGGUGCACCGUCAAACUGCGUUCCUCGGCUAAAAAAAUAAACUCCGACGCGAAUCGCGUCAAGGAACUCAAACAGGAGAAAAAAAGCGCCCCCCUCGUUCGCGAGUGGAGCUACGUGGGGUAGCAGGCGCAUCUUUCAUGAGCAUAACGACUCUCGGCAACGGAUAUCUCGGCUCUCGCAUCGAUGAAGAACGUAGCGAAAUGCGAUACUUGGUGUGAAUUGCAGAAUCCCGUGAACCAUCGAGUCUUUGAACGCAAGUUGCGCCUGAAGCCAUUAGGCUGAGGGCACGUCUGCCUGGGCGUCUCACAUCGCGUCGCCCCUAGCCCUGUGCCCCAAAGGGCUCUUGGGUUGAUGGGGGCGGAUUUUGGCCCCCCGUGUGCCCUAGUGCACGGUCGGCCUAAAGAUGAGUCCCUGGCGACGAACGUCACGAUGAGUGGUGGAUGUGAUAACGUUGCGUCAUGUCGUGCACGUCUCGUCCCAACGAGUUGCUUUUGUUUUUGACCUCAAGAAGCACCGUUUUGACGGAGCCUCGAUCGCGACCCCAGGUCAGGCGGGAUCACCCGCUGAGUUUA
rnacentral:rRNA from 1 species